AACAUCAAUCCUGCUUCCCAGCGGCGGGAAACGGAUUAUUUUGGGCCAAAACCAUCCCUCCAAAAGAUUCGUCCCCCCUUUGCCCUUCUUAAAACCCUAUUGCUCAGAAAUAAAAUCUAGAAAAAAGUAUUAAAGGAAAUUAAAAAUAAAAAACAAAGACGCCUGUGCAGCUCCGAAGGAGAAAUCCCGAAUCUCCCAUUGUCCUCUUCCAUUCUUCCUUUUUCUUUGAUGGCAUUUCCUCUGAAGGAAGAAGAAGAGGAGGUCGACUCCGGCACCGGCACUCCCGUCCGCUACCUUCCUCUUCGCCACGUCUAUUCCACUUCUGCGCCUUGCGUCAGUGCCAGUGGAUCGUCUAACGUCGUCACCAAGAAGGUCAAGGCCAGGAGGAUGAUCGCCGACGGCUUUGACGGCGAGGGCGACGGCGUCGAUCAGAAGCCGUACCCGGCUAAGCCUCCGGUCGUGCACGUGUACGCCCGGCGCCGCAAGAGGCCGCGCAAUUUGACAGCGGAGCGACCGGAGUCGGGGGCUUUGGUGGCUGUGAAGGAGGAGAGGUGUGAAUCGGAUGGUUGCGAAGGGGUUGGUGGUGGAGAUCGAGGCGUAGGGGUUUUGGGGAAGAAGAGGAGAAGUGCGAAUUUGGAGGUGAAAAACUUGGGCGAUAAUUCGAGGGGAGUGGGCAGUUCAGUACGGCGUCGUUUGAGGGAAGCCAGGAAAGACAGCACUGUCGACCUUCCGCAUAGAAGAAAGCGCAAAUCUUCGGAGAAUUUGACGAAAGUCGACUCUAAUUCGGCUUGCAUCAAGCGGUGGCUUUGGUUGAAUUUUGAUGACGUUGAUCCUGAAAAAUUCAUAGGAUUACAAUGCAAGGUUUACUGGCCGUUGGAUGGUGAAUGGUACCGUGGUUGCAUUAUUGGGUAUGAUUUGGAGGCCAACCGGCAUCAGGUUAAAUACAAUGAUGGUGAUAAAGAAGAAUUGAUUCUCUCAAGUGAGAAAAUUAAAUUUUAUGUAUCUCGCGAGGAUAUGCAACAUUUGAACCUGAGUCUUAGUGUUAGAAGUCUGGAUAGUGAUGACAUUGAUUAUGAUGAGAUGGUUGUGUUGGCUGCAAGUUGGAAUGAUUGCCAAGACCACGAGCCUGGGGAUAUCAUAUGGGCCAAGCUUACUGGUCAUGCUAUGUGGCCAGCAAUUGUUGUGGAUGAGUCAAUUAUUCAUAAUCGUAAAGGUCUAAACAAAAUUUCAAAAGAGAAAUCACUUCCUGUGCAGUUUUUUGGUAGUCAUGAUUUUGCAAGGGUUAAAACUAAACAGGUUACCCCAUUUCUUAAGGGACUGCUUUCUUCUUUCCACCUGAAGUGCACAAAACCACAUUUCCAUCAAAGCUUGGUAGAAUCCAAAGCGUAUCUCAGCGAACAGAAGCUUUCAAAACGGAUGUUACGGAUGCAAAAGCUCACAGAGGAUGAUGAUUGUGAAAGUAUGAGUGGAGAGGAUGAAAAGAGAACUGAUUCAGGUGAUGAUUGCAUAGGAGAUGAAAGAGUAAAGAGAAAACUAGACGACCUUAUAAAAUUCCCAUUUGAAAUAGGGGAUUUGCAAGUAAUACGCCUUGGAAAAAUUGUCAAGGACUCAGAUCGUUUCCAGGUUGAGGGAUUCAUCUGCCCUGAAGGAUAUACUGCUAUGAGAAAGUUUACUUCAAUUACAGAUCCAAGCUUAUGCGCAUUAUAUAAAAUGGAAGUGCUGAGAGAUGCUGAAUCAAAGAUUCAACCCUUAUUUAGGGUGACAUUGGACAAUGGAGAGCAGUUCCAAGGAUCAACUCCAUCUUCUUGCUGGAAUAAAAUUUUUAGAAGGAUAAGAAAGAUGCAAAACAGUGCUUCUGAUGGUUCUAGUGCAGAAGGUGGAGCUGAAAAAUUAAAUGAAUCCGGUUUUGAUAUGUUUGGCUUUUCCAAUCCUGAGAUUUUCAGACUUGUACAGGAGUUGUCAACUUCCAAAAUUUCCUCAAAAUUCUCCAUGUCCAAGUCAAUCUCUAGAAGAUAUCAAGACUUGUCUUCUGGUUACAGGCCUGUUCGUGUUGACUGGAAAGAUCUUGAUAAAUGCAGUGUUUGCCACAUGGAUGAGGAGUAUGAGAACAAUCUGUUUCUUCAGUGCGACAAAUGCAGAAUGAUGGUUCAUGCUAGAUGCUAUGGGGAAUUAGAACCUGUUGAUGGGGUGCUAUGGUUAUGCAAAUUAUGUGGCCCAGGGGCUCCUGAUUCCCCCCCUCCUUGCUGCCUCUGUCCUGUUACCGGUGGGGCCAUGAAGCCUACAACUGAUGGACGCUGGGCUCAUCUGGCUUGUGCCAUCUGGAUACCUGAAACUUGCUUAUCCGAUAUCAAAACCAUGGAGCCCAUUGAUGGACUGAGUAGAAUCAAUAAGGACCGAUGGAAGCUUCUAUGUAGCAUCUGUGGUGUUUCUUAUGGGGCUUGCAUCCAAUGUUCAAACAGUACUUGUCGUGUAGCUUAUCACCCACUUUGCGCACGUGCUGCGGGCCUUUGUGUUGAACUUGAGGAUGAGGAUAGACUCCAUCUGAUUUCUGUAGAGGAUGAUGAGGAUGAUCAGUGCAUUCGACUACUUUCCUUCUGCAAGAAGCAUAGACAGCCAUCUAAUGAGCGUACAGCUUUUGAUGAAAGGAUUGGGCAAGUGGCUCGUGAAUGUUCUAACUAUAACCCGCCUUCUAAUCCAUCAGGCUGUGCUCGCACUGAGCCUUAUAACCAUUUUGGGAGAAGGGGUCGGAAAGAACCUGAAGCCCUUGCUGCUGCAUCCUUGAAGCGGUUGUUUGUAGAUAAUAGGCCAUAUUUGGUUGGUGGUUACUGUCAACAUGAAUCCUUGGGGAAUCCAUUAUCUUCUAGUGCCCUCUCAGGUUCUAAAUUUUCCUUCAGAAAUCAAAAAAUAAAAGCUUCUCAGCUUGAUGCUCCUAAGAGCAUACUCUCUAUGGUUGAGAAAUAUAAUUACAUGAGGGAGACCUUCAGAAAGAGACUGGCUUUUGGAAAAUCAGGAAUACAUGGAUUUGGCAUAUUUGCGAAGCAGCCACAUAGAGCGGGAGAUAUGGUUAUUGAAUAUACAGGCGAACUUGUUAGACCCUCAAUAGCUGACAGGAGAGAACGACUCAUAUACAAUUCGUUGGUGGGUGCAGGGACUUAUAUGUUCCGUAUUGAUGAUGAACGCGUCAUUGAUGCCACAAGGGCAGGAAGCAUAGCUCAUUUGAUUAAUCACUCAUGUGAACCAAAUUGCUAUUCGAGAGUUAUAAGUUUUAAUGGUGAUGACCAUAUAAUUAUUUUUGCGAAGAGGGAUAUUAAGAGAUGGGAAGAACUGACUUACGAUUACAGAUUUUUUUCAAUUGAUGAACAACUAGCAUGUUAUUGUGGCUUCCCAAGAUGCCGUGGUGUGGUCAAUGACAUUGAUGCAGAGGAGCGAAUGGCAAAGCGAUAUGCGCCUCGCAGUGAAUUGAUAGGUUGGAUAGGGGAAUGAGAGGACCUUGGGAUAAAGAGAAUGAUUGGUUCAUAUGAUGAGAAGGAUGGGUUGUAUUAUUUGGAUCUUGGUGAACCUCCUUCCUCAGUAUUGAGUGUUACCGCCCCUCUUUUUAAUGACAUUUUGCUUAGGUUAUCCAUCUUUGGUGAAGUUGCACUUAGUUAUACUCAUGUGGGGAUAUGUGUUUAGUUAGAAUGUGAAGAUUGUCAGUUAGGUAAGCAUCGGCGUAUUUCUUUCCCAAUAAGUAGUCAUAGUCGAGGGUAUUAUUCAUCAAACUAGAUGUGCUCACACCUCUCAAUAAAAUGGAGUUGCUAAACAAAAGUGUCAUUAUUUAUUGGAUGUUGCUUGUACCCUAUUGUUUAAUAUGUAGGUGCUAAAACAUUUUUGGGCUGAUGUCUCACAAUUAGUGUUUAAAAAUUAAUUUUGUACAAACAAAAAUUUGCAAAAAAAAAAAAAAAAAAAACCUACGAAGUCAUUGAAAAAAUAGUAAAAAAUGGAUGAAAAAGGAUAGGAUAUAUUGAAAAAAAUGGCAAAAACUGAGUAAAGAUUGGCAAUUUCUAGUUGACCACUAACAGUUACUUUGAAACCAGAUAAACACAUGUUUUUAAUUUCAACUAGUCUCAUAACAUCUUUAUGACUAUAAUUCUAAUAAAUAUGAAUCUAUGAUAAUUCCGAUAUGGUUCUCAUAAUUUCUGGCCUAAUCAUUGAGAAACCUUUGAGAGGUUAUUUUAAAAGAUCACAGAGUAUUUUUAUGAAAAACCUAUGAACUUUUUCUGAAUGCAUUGGAAAGCCCUCAAAACCCUUACACUUGAUACUGUUUGGGUGUUCACUGAGAACAGUUGUAACCAUGAACCUCUAGUUCAAGAAAAGCUUCUCAAUUGGGGGUACUGGCACAUUGACUUCUGAUUGGGAAGAGAAAGGAUUCUUGAGGAUAAGGAUUACUUGUUCAUGAUUUUUAUGUUUUCUUGCCAUUGUAGGUACUUGAUAAAUCACAUCUUUUGGAUAAUAACCCAGAGUUUGAGAGCCCCUCCUCCUCCUCCCUUAAACUCAUCAUCUCUUGCUAACUUUCUCAAUUUGUCACAUAUACUGCACUUUAUCGUAUUAUAGAUUGUCUGAAUUGAGCUUUGUGUUUUUGUGAACUUCCUUUUUUGAUUGUGUGUUUUUCUGAAAAUUUUCUUUGCAUAUAUGUCAGCCUUUUAUUUUUCUUAUGAUUUUCUGAUGUCUUCUUUUGAAGGUUUUUCUUUUCAUGAAACCUAUGUCACAUGGACUCAUGAAUUCCCAAAGCUUAGGGAAGAGGGACAUAGUUAAAUAAUUCAAUAUUCCUUAUGGCUCGUUUGAUACUAGCCAACUCAAAGUAUAUGAUGAGGUAGAACUUUCAUGAUUCAUCCAACAAAGAGUCUAAAGUUGCUUAUAAUGAAGUAAGAAUUUGUUCUCCCUUUACUUCAUUGGAAUCCUUGCCCCAUAAUUGGGACAAAUGGUGCAACCCCCCAGCCCCCAACCAAUUCAAAAGAUAGAGGCAUUGGCUUAAAGGAAUGCCAAUAAGCUCUUUGGAAAAAAAUGUCUGAAGUGAAGUCAAAAAGCAAAAUCUAUCUUGCCUCAGUCUAAGUUCCAUCUGUAUCCUAGAAAAUUAUAGUAUUUGUCCCUCUCAAGAUUGUGGUUAGCUGUAUGCCAUAGGACUUGGCUCCUAGAACCCCUGCCAAAUUCUUUAAAAGAAUAAUAAUAAUAAUAACCAACAUGUCUAGAAUCUUUUCCUAGACUGCUGAUGCAGUGGCUUAAAUGAAAUCCUUGCUGUAACCUUGCUGCACAGCAUCCCCCACCCCCAAUGAGAUAUGGGAAAUAAAUUUCACCUCUACAAUUGUUCCCAGGCUUCAUCUUCCCCACCUUUGCUGCUGCCCAGUGGCAGUCACCUAUUGGAUGCCCUCCAGAGAAAAAAUAAACUGUCACAAGAAAGAAAGAAAGAACAACCAGCAUGUCUGGAAUCUCUUUCUUUGCCAUCCAGUGAAUGCCCAACAGAGGGAAACUGAACUGCCACAAAAGCACAUAGGAACAAAUGGUCAGCGGACUCCCUUCUAUCCUAGCACAGCACACAUCUGUUGGAGCUACUCGCCUUUAAGAUUAGCUAUCCCACUAGCAGGAAGCGAACGUACACAAGAACUGUAACUGUUCGGUUUUUACUCUUACCAAUAAUUGCUUUUUAUUUCCAAAUUACAUUCGGGUUAUGCCUGUGAUUUGCAAGCAUUUUUUCAGAGUACGCUUAUGAUAUGGAAUGAGGAUGUCUAUGUGAGGAGACUGUUAAGUCAUGAGAAGAGAAGUGUGAGUUGAGUUUAAUUUAGUUGUACAGAUUUUUGGCAUCCAAAUUCCAAUUGUUGUGCUUGUUCAACAUUGAAAGGUCAGUUUGGCUUAUGUAGCUUAACCUCUUCAAAUUUAUACAAGAAUGUCUGCCAUCA